GGGCGUUUAGCUCAGUUGGUUCAGAGCACCUGCCUUACAAGCAGGGGGUCGAUGGUUCGAAUCCAUCAAUGCCCA
rnacentral:tRNA from 1 species